UCGGGUGGGUUUUCACAACUCUUCGCACAGCAAAAAAAUUAAAAUGUGAAGAAGACAAAGAACUGGAAGUGGAGGAAUCGCUCCAUCUCUUCAGCCCCUGCUACUUUUACCCCACUCCACUGAGACUCACAGCGGUGUCUCGGGGAUCGUGUGUCCACCCCAGAGUCAGGCUGUAAAAACCGCAUCCAUUGAUGCGGUGCUUCCGGAUGGGGUGGUGCGAGCUGAGGGAGAGAGCUCUGAGCACAUGAGAACGCUCCUAAGGAGGGCGCUACGCUGGAGCUCGCAGUCUGCAGAAGGUGUUUGUGGGGCCCUGGGUAGGCAGAGAGCCCUCAGGGUGCCCUUCAGAAAGCCAGUUGGCUGAGCUAGAGUGAACCGAUGCCUGUGAGUCACGGUCGGAAUCAGCAAGAGGCUUGGGAAAUGAACGGACUAGGAACGAUGUCAUCGAUGUCAUCGCUUGGCUUCUUCCUCUGACAAACGAAAGUGCAGCUCUCCAAUUUGAAUCCCGAUUGAGUUUGAUUAAAGGUGGUUUUGAUUGUGCAAGGCUUGACACUUCCUAUGUCGCAGAAGAAAUGGGUCCUUCAGCUGUCAGCAGGCGAGCUUCAGCCUCUGCUGUGCACCCAUGGCCCUUACAGCAUCCAUCACAGCAUCGGACAUAGAGAAUCAGCCCCCAGAGGUGUCUAUCGAUGAUUGUUUUACAGAGACAGCAACGCGUGUAUGCACAGUGAACGUUUAUCCAGCACGGAGAACAAAACGUUGUCGUUUUCAGCAGAAUGGACUGAACUGGUGGCCAGAAAGUUAGAGCAAAAUAAACCAGACUUGGAAAGAGAAGCAGACCUAUUCUUUCACAUAUAGAAAUAAACACAUAGAAAGGAGAGGUUUUGGGAAAGAGAGGAGGGGUUGGGAAGAGAGAGGGGACAUAAGUCAGAGAGUCCCAGGGUGAGCAGCAUCAACAAGUACAGUAAAUAGACAUAUAAAAAUAGCCAGGGGGUUGGAGAGAUGGCUCAGUGGUUAAGAGCACUGACUGCUCUUCCAGAGGCCCUGAGUUCAAUUCCCAGCAACCACAUGGUGGCUCAAACCAUCUGUAAUGGGAUCUGAUGCCCUCUUCUGGUGCAUCUAAAAAUAGCUACAGUGUACUCAUAUAAAUAAAGUAAAUAAAUCUUUAAAAAAAAAAAA